rnacentral:tRNA from 4 species
GGGUUUCUAGCUCAAUUGGUAGAGCAGCGGUCUCCAAAGCCGCCGGUUGCAGGUUCGACCCCUGCGGAGCCCGC